GUGUGUUCUUCUAUCUCUAUUGUGCCAUAAGGCAGUCUCAUGUUUGCUAGGACAGAACUUUCAAUUGUAACAUUUUUAAGAUUGCAGUUGUAUUAUUUUGGAAAUAACUAAAGGGGUAGCUCAAUUGGUCAACUCUUGAUUUUUCUCCCUAAUAGUCACUAAUUCGAGUCUCCUCAGAGCCACUAAAGGUUUACCUAGCCAUUAACUUUAGGGUCCCGUGUGAUUAGUCAAAGUACGCGCAAGCUGGCUCGGACACUCAAGAAUAUCAAAAAAAUUAUUUUGGAAAUAGCCACUUGAAGAGGGUGUUUUUGUUUUUUUGGGUGCCAAAGGAUGAAAGAUCACUCGAGCACUAAAGUAUUAGAAGAGUCGCUCUGUCAAAUGUGUAAGUAUGGCUAGGUUUUGCACUGAUCAAAAGAUCUUGAUUCCCCAUCCUGGCCAUCUUAACUCCUAUCAUGUGUUCCAUGGAAGUGUUGCAUGCCAUUAUCCCAAGGCCACUUGAUUUAAUUUGUUGCCCUCCUAUUUGUGGAGCCUGGUUAUAUGUUUGUGUACAACUCAAUUUGAUGAAUCGAUCUGAUACAGAUUCAUUGUGGUUUUAACCCGUUUGGCUCUUAAACCGAUCCAACUUGACAUGUUAAUUAAGAUUUACUAUAUAUUGUAUUAAACUAUUUAGUAUAUACGGUCACCAUAUUACCACAUUGUAUCUUCUUUUUUUUUUUCAUCUGAAUCAAAUCUUUUACAAUUUUGUAGACUUAGACACAAUGUCAAAUCGCAUAAAUUUUAUAUCGUGUGUGAUUGAUUCCACUUUUUAUUUUAUUUAUUUUUAUUACUCCUAACAUAAUUAAUAGAGAAGUACUUUAGCAACAAAAAGAUUACACAAAAAUAAACCUACAAACUAACAUUGUUUAAUGUGAUACGUUAAAAUGUAAAAUUACUUUUAUUGUAAAAUAGAUAUAAUAUAUCAUAUAAAAUAACGUCAGUUUGUGGAUUUAUUUUUGUGGGAUCUCUUUGUAAAGUAAUUUAGGUAAUAAUAUUUCUAUGUUUAGAAUAUCUUCUCAUACCAAUAUUUUAGGCUGUGGAGUAAUUAUUAUUAUAUUUUAAGUUAAGACCAACUAUGUAUCCAAAUGAGGCCUAAAUAUUUUUUUAAGGAGUUAUAAAAUAAAUUUUCCCUAUAAAACAAUUAUUCUAAGGAUAUAAGAAAAUUUCAGAGAUUAAAUUAGGUUUUACAUGUAUGAGAGCUUUAUAUGCUGCGAUUUCAAAAGUAAUGCCUCAUGUUAAUCUCUAAAUGGUUGAAAUGGAUAUUAAUGUCACAUAUUAGUCAAGAGAAAAUUUUUGGGCUGGUCGCCUAAGAAAUGCAUUUUUACAGCAAGCCAAUAAUUACGUGCCACGUAAACACUUCAUGAAAAUCACAAAUAAAUCUACAUACACCCAAACCCCUAUGUUGACUCUGAAUUGACUAAAUGUAUCCCCCGUCCCCUUUCAAGAAAGCCUGUGGAAAUUCAAGCAAACAACAGCAGCAUCAACAGCAGCAAGAGGACCCGCCGUGAAGAUUAUAGUGCUUUUUCUACUUCUGUUAACAUUCCUAUUCCUAGACCCACAAUCAACAACAAUGGUGUUUCAUCUCAGUUUCUUGGACCUACUGCUAGUUCCCCAUUCCACUGGCCGAACAAGGUCUCGCUUACUUCCCACAAGGAUCCGAGGAGCUUGGACUGGGUUGUAAAAGGAGAACCCGUUCCCAUGGCUACAACUAACCAACAAUGGCACCUUUUGAUGCAAAAUAAAAUGGAAUUCGCCUCUGAGACAUUCUCUUACUGUCAUCCCAAUGCCUCUAUUUUCAAACAAAUUAUCCUGAGGAGCCCUUGAAUGUGAACUCGUAUGUGUAUUUUAGCAGCUGUGAAGAUACACAGAGCAAAGAUUGUCCUUUGUUCCUCAGUUCGUAUAUGAUUUCUAUACAAGAACCUAACACAGGAACCACAAGGGGUUUCAUUGAUGCGUGGUCUAAUGCAAUAACAGAGGAGAACAUAGCCAACUCAAGCAUCUCGUGCUCUGUCUCAUCAAAUGGGCUCUCACCCUCUUUACCCACUCUAUCAAUGGGUGGCAGUAACUCCAUUGAUGAAGAUAUGGGUCAACUCCAAAUGGGAUCGGGCUUGAUUGGAAGGAAUCGAAAUAAUAAAGUGGUAGCAAAUCUGAUAUCUCAAGCUGGUAUACCCCUACUUCUUAGAUAGUUACUCCCACACGGGGUGGGCCUUUAGUUGAGGUUCUAAGGCCAAGCAUCGUUGCCGUUGCUACCAAAGCUACAUUGAAUGUGUCAUCUCCAACCCCUACAAAUGGUGUAGCAGAGUCAAUAGAGCGGCUUUUGGGUGUAUGCAGUUCUAUUUAUGAUAUUUAUGAAGUGCUUACAUGGAACGUGAUUAUUGGCCUGCUAUAAAAAUAUGUUUCAUAGCUGACCAAUCUGAAA